rnacentral:rRNA from 1 species
AUUGAACGCUGGCGGCAUGCCUUACACAUGCAAGUCGAACGGUAGCAGGUCUUCGGAUGCUGACGAGUGGCGAGCGGGUGAGUAAUACAUCGGAACGUGCCUAGUAGUGGGGGAUAACUACUCGAAAGAGUGGCUAAUACCGCAUGAGAUCUACGGAUGAAAGCAGGGGAUCGCAAGACCUUGUGCUACUAGAGCGGCCGAUGGCAGAUUAGGUAGUUGGUGGGAUAAAAGCUUACCAAGCCGACGAUCUGUAGCUGGUCUGAGAGGACGAUCAGCCACACUGGGACUGAGAAACGGCCCCGACUCCUACGGGAGGCAGCAGUGGGGAAUUUUGGACAAUGGGCGCAAGCCUGAUCCAGCAAUGCCGCGUGCAGGAUGAAGGCCUUCGGGUUGUAAACUGCUUUUGUACGGAACGAAAAGCCCCGGGUUAAUACCCUGGGGUCAUGACGGUACCGUAAGAAUAAGCACCGGCUAACUACGUGCCAGCCGCCGCAGUAA